GUCCUCGUGGAGCGUGGACGCUCGCUCCCGCACGGUACCCGGAUUAGGAAGAAUACAGGGAGAGAAGGUGGUUCGAGUCCACCCGGGGACA